CGCCGCAGGAAGAUGGCGGAUUUACGACCGUGUCGUCAUAACAACGGGCCGCGCCAAGGCCUGCGAGAGAAACAGACCGGAGGGCGAUGGGGCGGGGCCCGGGUGCGUUUGAUGGGCAGGCGGCGGGGGCGGGGGGCGGCGGAGGGUGUGGCCUGGAACCACAGAGGUGGGGCUAGACCCUAGGUGAGAAGAGACGGGUCGGGCCUGCUGGGAGGGGUGUGGUUACGGUGGAGCGAACUGACAGGCGGAGGGGCGGAGCCAGUGGAAGGCCCUAGGGGCGUGGCUUGGCCCGGCAGGGGCUGGGCCACCCUGACGAUUGGAGCGCUGGGUUUGGGUUCCGAGAGCUUCGAGAGCCUAAGAGGGGCGAGGCGGACUGGCAGCGCCACCUGACCAGCCCUGAGCUGGUGGUGCAGCCACGGGUGCCCCGCCGGGAUAUGAGCUUGAGGGCCGCUGCCAGGACACCGCUCCAACUGAGACCGGUAGAGUGAUGUUCGCCGCCCGUCCCCGAUCCCUUCUCGGACGACAGAAUCUCCCUUGAAUGUUGACCCAGCGACCUCGACACAACCCCCGAGUUGGGGAUGGCUCACGGGGCUGCCCAGCUGGGAAAGCGAGGACCCUUGGCCUGGCAGGAGCCGAGAAGGGGGUUUAAGCAGAGUGAGUGCUGGUCAGCGUUUCCGAAGGGUCCCUCUGACUGCUGUGUCCACAAGGAAGAUCCAGGAGAGAUGGGCUCUGAGAGGGACAAACCGGGAGAGGACCAGCUGGGUCGUUUUGGAGCUCGACGGUUCUGGCGGCAGCUGGGAAGACAGGGCCAGGAGAACACCCCACUUGAGGCUGCCCAAAGGAUUAAGGGGAAAGCCAGCAUUCGAGAGAUGGCGGCAGAUCCCCACAGGAACAGCGUGGGGAAGGAUCCCAAAGACAGUACGGCCUAGGUGUGGGUGGGCACAAGGAGGAGCUGGCCCAGGGGAGACAGACAGCCUGCACUCUCCGGGCUCGUAUGCUUUCUAUUUCAGAAAUCCUCUCUAAAACAAUUGCAUUUAUCAACCAUACUUCAAUAAAACUUUAAAAAAUGAAA